UACCGCGUGUGUGAAGAAGGCCUUCGGGUUGUAAAGCACUUUAAGCAGGGAGAAAAAGUUAUAGGUUAAUACCCUAUGACCUUGAUGUUACCUGCAGAAUAAGCACCGGCUAAUUCCGUGCCAGCAGCCGCGGUAAUACGGAAGGUGCAAGCGUUAAUCGGAAUUACUGGGCGUAAAGCGCGCGUAGGUGGUUUGUUAAGUUGGAUGUGAAAGCCCUGGGCUCAACCUAGGAACUGCAUCCAAAACUAACUCACUAGAGUACGAUAGAGGGAGGUAGAAUUCAUAGUGUAGCGGUGGAAUGCGUAGAUAUUAUGAAGAAUACCAGUGGCGAAGGCGGCCUCCUGGAUCUGUACUGACACUGAGGUGCGAAAGCGUGGGUAGCGAACAGGAUUAGAUACCCUGGUAGUCCACGCCGUAAACGAUGACAACUAGCUGUUGGGAGACUAUGUCUUUCAGUGGCGCAGCUAACGCUUUAAGUUGUCCGCCUGGGGAGUACGGCCGCAAGGCUAAAACUCAAAUGAAUUGACGGGGACCCGCACAAGCGGUGGAGCAUGUGGUU
rnacentral:rRNA from 1 species